rnacentral:lncRNA from 1 species
GGCGGUGGAAGGUGUGUGUGGCCCUCAGGACUGCGCCCUGCAGGAGCCCCUGGCACCCCUCCCCCUCUCUUCCCAGGCAACCCUGCCUCCCUGGAAGCCCCACCACCACAGGAGCCCCAGGCAGCACAGGCACUGCGGCCUCCGCCUUUCCUCACUGGCCACCUUGUCCCUCAUAGUCCCACGGUUCAGUCUGCUGAGCCCGGCGUGAGGUCAGCAGGCCCUGCAGCAGCGAUGUGCAGGUCCUCAGCUGCAGGUCAGAGUCUGCUCACAGGGGCUGCCAACUCUCAGACUUAAGUCCAGGCCGUGGAGACACGGACGGAACGGAGGCUGCGUGGGGUGGGGGAGCGCAGCCUUCAGCCCUGUGACUAUGGCCACAUCUCUCACCCCGGGCAGCUGGGAAUGCUCACACCGGGGAGCCCCACGGCCCUGGAGAGCCUUGGCCUUGGCGUAGGCUCUGCCCCCGGAGCCUCCAGCUGGUCUGACCAGGUUUCCAGGUAGCUGCCUGCUCAGCGCCAUCUGUCAGCAGCAGCACCACCUGGCUCUUCUCCCUGAAAUAGGCUGGCAGCGUGGCCACCAGCUAAACUGGAGCCAGACAUGCCCCCUUGGUCCUGCUCCAGCCACCACCGGUGCCCCACGCCCAGGGGCAGAGGGGCUGCGGGUGCCCAGGCUUCCCCCAGAAGCUCUGAGCAGGCUGGCCCCGGCCAUCAGUAUUUCUGGGAGAGAACAUGAAGUUUCCUGCGGUCCCGGUCAUCUGUUUCUGGGGAGCUCUAGGGUCCCUUCACACAGCUGGAGCAAGAUUCAAGGUUACCCUGCCUCAGGGAAGGGGGAAGCCCGGGGCGAGGGCAGGAGGCAAGAAGGUCCCCUGGAAGGUAGCAGCUGGAGCUCAAAGACCCUGCCCUGCUUACCUUUCUGCUCAGCGGAGUGGCCCCUCUCCUGGGAUCCCCCCACCCCGCCCCAGGGCUUCAUCUCUACCUAGGGCACAAGCCUGGCCAGGGGUCCUCGGGCCCUCGAGGGACGUCCUGAGCGCGAGGUGACCUGCGCAGGGUCGGGACUGAGAAGCUUCUGCAACCAGGUCUCUCCCCUGCGGUGCACCGGGUGGCUUUUUCGGUUCAGUGCAACUCCUCCAAGAGCCAUCUGUGCAGGAGGCCGGUCCCCACUGAGGCUGCCCUUCCCUUGUGUGGAAUGAACUGCUGUUCCCGGGGCUCAUCACAGGCCACCCUGGCUCGCAGGCCCAGGGGUCCUCACUGGGUGGUCUGGGCAGCGGGGCUGGGCGGGCAUCGGAGGCCAGACCCGGGGACCCGCAAGCCCGGCCUGCGAGGGUUAAGGGGGCGGGGUGCGGGCGGCUCCGCCUCGCGCCGCU